rnacentral:lncRNA from 1 species
UUAAGUUGAUGGGUCUGUAACUAUUUACCUUCUUCCUAGUGACCAUUGAAAUGGAUAUUUGUUGAAAAAGCUACUCUUCAUCAAAUUUAUCUAGAUUAUUCAUUGACAAGUCUAUUGACCACAGAACGAAGGCAGCAAAGCAGUGAACAUCCAGUGAAUGUUCCAAGAAGUGAUGGGGGAGAUCCGAGUGGAUGUGAAUGUUCUGGCCUCCAACAACAAACAGCAUGGUGAAAAGGGCAAUAAACCCAAGGAAAGAAAAGAAAGAGGUCAGCAAUCAAGGAAGGAGGAGCCAGUGAGCCACAAGGGAUGUGUGAAACCUGGAGAGCAGAACAUAAAACCACGUAUGAGAAGUCAACUUUGUAAACCAAAGGGCACAAUAUACCUGGUUAGCUUAUAUUAAUUAUUAUGCACUUCCUUGUGAUGAGAGCCUCAACUCAGGUCUUUUAAAGAAAGUCUGGUAAUUGUGGGUCUUUAGGAUACACCUGUCACGAAACUGGUCUUCAAGCUGAGAGCUAUUCAUAGUCCCAAAGUUGACGCCCUUCCCAAUCCUAACCACGUAAGUUAGCUUGACAUCUUUCUAGAAAGUGAUUUCCUGGAAAAAGUACAAAAGUUGACCAGAAGUCCAGGGUUUCAGUCUUAACUCUGUUAAUCACAGGCAAAUCAUUUACAUGCAGAGACUCAGUUUCCUCAUUUGUAAGUUGGG